CUCUCUCUCUACCUCUCCCUCUCUCUCUCUGUCUCUGUCUCUUUCACUUUUUCCCGCGGCCUGCGCCUCGGGAGGUGUCCCUUUUUUUUGUCCCAUCUGUCCCGCGGUUUCCACGACUAGCCGCGUGUCGGUACGGUGCCGCGUCGUCAUCGUCGCCGACGCCGAUCGCCGAACGUCGGUCCACGUCGGCGGUAUUCUCGUCUUUCUUCAAUGAUUACUAACACAACCGAACUCACGACACACUAACCAACUGCGUCUCCCGAGAACAAGCAUUAUGAUCUCGUCCAGGACAUCAUGCCAGCGCCCUAAGUCCUGAAUGAGAAAACGGUCUGUCGCGCCUUGCGCGAUAAAGAACAGAAUCCCACGAGGAAGCCUGCGGCGACUUCGACGGCGUAAACGAGCGAGGCCCUCGGCGCGAGGAAAGGGCUCCGCGGGAAGAGGGCCGCGCGAACGUAUCUCUGGGUCCGUCGUGGUGUUGUCCGCCGGGGGUGGCGGUAGCGGAGGGGGUGGAGGAGUUUGCAAGCGCCGUGAUUUGGAACGUCGGACGGGUGGCGGUCGCAGUGUUCCCUGUGUUCCCACCAUCAGCUCUUCUGUCGCAGGAACCGCGGGGGGUUGUGGCCCCGUGGUGGGACUCUCCUCCUAUAAAAAGCGCCAAGGCAGUGGCACCGUCUGGGGUCGCGGCAGCCGUGGACGCGGCAAGGGUCGCGGGGGCGGCGCGAACCUCUUGGGUUCCGGCGUCGCCCCCGCGAAUUACGCACCAGGACUGCAGGGCGUUGCGCCUGGGCUGCGGGAAGUCGUGAACAUCCUCGGCAAGAGGAAUCAAGCUGGCACCCUGACGGGCGUAGGCCCGCCGCCGGGAACGCUGGAUAACGAGAGUGCGGGCGACGAGGAGGAGGGGACUUCCACUAAGAGACCGCCGAGGCCUCUCUACAGGAGAUUAAUCAACUACGUGAGACAAGCUUGGACCGGCGUCAAGUUCGCUUUAGACUCUGAGUACGAGGAGGAGCAAACACCGAGAUACAGGCCGGACUCUUUGGCGAGCCUUUGUCGAGCCACCAGAUUCACGGAGGCCGAGCUGAAGAGAAUAUAUCGCGGCUUCAAGGCUGAAUGUCCUACGGGAGUCGUCAGGGAGGAAACUUUCAAGUGCAUCUAUUCGCAGUUCUUCCCUCAAGGAGCCAAUACAAGCCAGUACGCGCAUUACGUUUUUAAUACUUUGGACCAGGAUCACAGCGGGCUUCUCAGCUUCGAGGACUUUGUCACGGGUCUGAGUAUACUGUCUCGCGGCUCGAUAGACGAGAAACUCCGCUGGACGUUUUCUCUUUACGACAUCAACGGGGACGGCUGUAUCACGCGCGAGGAAAUGACCGACAUCGUGACUGCCGUGUACGAGCUGAUGGGGAAAUUCGCUGAUCCGAACCUGGAUCACCAGGGCGUGCGCGAGAAGGUGGAUCGUAUGUUUCAGAAAAUGGACGGCAACAGGGACGGCGUGGUGACGCUGUCCGAGUUUCUGGAGGCUUGUCGUGCAGAUCCGGACAUCUCGACCAGCAUGGCAGCCCUGGACACUGCCUUCUGACACUCAUCGCGCCCGCUGUACACACCGUGGACCUGAAGGGAUCACUCGAUUAGAAAAAAGAAACAAAUACAAAAUCGCUCAAUGUUGUACCUUAACUCCCUGGACCAGAGGAGGGAAACUCCUCAAGAGAGAAGAAGGAGACACUCCAAGAGAACCGAUUGUUCAUCGGCUGCGUCUCAGUAGAUGCUUUGCGGACGUGAGGGCGGAGGCGCAGUUAACGAUUCGGUCGCGUUUUCAGAGGCGAACGCAGAAUACAUCCCCGUAUGAAUAGUCAUAGUACACGUACAAUUUGUUACGGCAGCGUGCAAGUGCGCGCACGUAUUGAACUUGCGACAUAUUGGACCUGCACGGGGCAAGGGUUAAAACGUGAGGACGAGCGUCAACUUACGGACGAGACAUACAAAGUUUAUCGUGAAUCCCGUCGCACAUAGCUGGACGUGUCAAGCGGGAUUUGUUGUUUGUAGUGCGUAAGCGUGUAGGUGGUAAGCGAUAUCAAAAUAUUUAUUUUUGUGACGGGUAAGCGUAUUAUCGUUGUAAGAUUCUAGAUUGUAAAGACUGCGUGCUGCUAAAGACAGAGAGAGAGAGAGAGAGAGAGAGAGAGAGAGAGAGAGAGAAA
rnacentral:misc_RNA from 1 species